UGCUCUGCUGAGGUCAUUAGCAGGAAGUGCCGUCCGAAUCGAUAGCUGAGGGUAGCUCCUGGCUGACU